rnacentral:rRNA from 1 species
GACGCUGGCGCGUGCAUACACCUGCAAGUUGUAACGGUAGUAUUAUCUUCGGACUAAUAUGAGAGUGGCGAACGGGUGAGUAACACGUAAGAAUCUACCUUUAGGACGGGGAUAACUUCUGGAAACGGAUGCUAAUACCCGAUAUGCUGUGGAGUGAAAUGAAUUUCGCCUAAAGAUGAUCUUGCGUCUGAUUAGCUAGAUAGGGUGGUAAUGGCGCCCUAUGGCGACGAUCAGUAGCUGGUCUGAGAGGAUGGACAGCCACAUUGGGACUGAGACACGGCCAAACUCCUACGGGAGGCAGCACGUGGGGAAUUUUCCGCAAUGGGCGAAAGCCUGACGGAGCGACGCUGCGUGAAGGAUGACGGCUGAGGGGUGUAAACUUCUUUUCUCGAAGAAGAAUCAAUGACGGUAUUCGAGGAAUAAGCAUCGGCUAACUCUGUGACCAGCAGCACGCGGGUAAGACAAGAGGAUGCAACUAGUUAUUCCGGAUUGAUUUGGGCGUAAAAGCGUCUGUAGGCAGGUUAGAAAGUCUUAUUGUGAAAUACUUCAGGUCAAA